rnacentral:tRNA from 3 species
CAAAAAGUAGUUUAAAAAGAACAUUAAUUUUGGAGAUUAUUAGUAUAAUUAUAAAUUAUUUUUUUGA